rnacentral:rRNA from 1 species
AGUGAACGCUGGCGGCAGGCCUAACACAUGCAAGUCGAACGGAAGCACAGUAAGAGCUUGUGGUUACGGGUGCCGAGGGGCGGGCGGGUGCGAAGUACAUGGGUAUUUACUGUUUAGAAGGGGCUAACGCGGGGAAAAAUACGGUAUUAGUGCAUACGAAGUAAGGGUGAGAGCAGCGGAUCUUCGGACAUCAGGCGAGUGAAUGAGCCUAUGUCGGAUUAGCUAGUUGGUGGGGUAAAGGCCCACCAAGGCGACGAUCCGUAGCUGGUCUGAGAGGAUGAUCAGCCACACUGGAACUGAGACACGGUCCAGACUCCUACGGGAGGCAGCAGUGGGGAAUAUUGGACAAAGGGCGAAAGCCUGAUCCAGCCAUGCCGCGUGUGUGAAGAAGGCCUUCGGAUUGUAAAGCCCUUUUGUUUGGAAAGAAAAGCAGCAAGUUAAUACCUUGCUGUUCUGACGUUACCCAAAGAAUAAGCACCGGCUAACUUCGUG